UAGCUGAUGUGGGUAACCGCUCACCAUGCACGAACGUAGCGGACUGAGAGGCUAUCGCCACAUGGACUGAGACAAGCCCAAUCCUACGGAGCAGCAGUAGGGAUCCUACACAAUGACGAAAGUUCUGAUGAGCACGCCGCGUGAGUGAAGAAUGGGUUUCGCUAGUAAAACUCUGUUGUUAAGAAGAUCAUAUCUGAAGAGUAACUGUUCAGGUAUGACGGUAUUUAACCAGAAAGCCACGGCUACUACGUGCCAGCAGCCGCGGUAAUACGUAGGUGGCAAGCGUUGUCCGGAUUUAUUGGGCGUAAAGCGAGCGCAGGCGGUUUUUUAAGUCUGAUGUGAAAGCCUUCGGCUCAACCGAAGAAGUGCAUCGGAAACUGGGAAACUUGAGUGCAGAAGAGGACAGUGGAACUCCAUGUGUAGCGGUGAAAUGCGUAGAUAUAUGGAAGAACACCAGUGGCGAAGGCGGCUGUCUGGUCUGUAACUGACGCUGAGGCUCGAAAGUAUGGGUAGCAAACAGGAUUAGAUACCCUGGUAGUCCAUACCGUAAACGAUGAAUGCUAAGUGUUGGAGGGUUUCCGCCCUUCAGUGCUGCAGCUAACGCAUUAAGCAUUCCGCCUGGGGAGUACGGCCGCAAGGCUGAAACUCAAAGGAAUUGACGGGGGCCCGCACAAGCGGUGGAGCAUGUGGUUUAAUUCGAAGCUACGCGAAGAACCUUACCAGGUCUUGACAUACUAUGCAAAUCUAAGAGAUUAGACGUUCCCUUCGGGGACAUGGAUACAGGUGGUGCAUGGUUGUCGUCAGCUCGUGUCGUGAGAUGUUGGGUUAAGUCCCGCAACGAGCGCAACCCUUAUUAUCAGUUGCCAGCAUUAAGUUGGGCACUCUGGUGAGACUGCCGGUGACAAACCGGAGGAAGGUGGGGAUGACGUCAAAUCAUCAUGCCCCUUAUGACCUGGGCUACACACGUGCUACAAUGGAUGGUACAACGAGUUGCGAACUCGCGAGAGUAAGCUAAUCUCUUAAAGCCAAACUCAGUUCCCAUUGU
rnacentral:rRNA from 2 species